GCGUUGUCCGGAUUUAUUGGGCGUAAAGAGCUCGUAGGCGGCCGUUCACGUCGGAUGUGAAAGCUCGGGGCUCAACCCUGAGAGGCCAUUCGAUACGGGACGGCUAGAGGAAGGUAGGGGAGAGUGGAACUCCUGGUGUAGCGGUGGAAUGCGCAGAUAUCAGGAAGAACACCGAUGGCGAAGGCAGCUCUCUGGGCCUUUCCUGACGCUGAGGAGCGAAAGCUGG
rnacentral:rRNA from 1 species